UACGUAGAGAGCAAGCGUUGUCCGGAAUCAUUGGGCGUAAAGGGUACGCAGGCGGUCUAUUAAGUCAGAGGUGAAAUCCAACAGCUCAACUGUUGAACUGCCUUUGAUACUGGUAGACUUGAGGAUAAGAGAAGAAAACGGAAUUCCUAGUGUAGCGGUGAAAUGCGUAGAUAUUAGGAAGAAUACCGAUGGCGAAGGCAGCUUACUAAACUGACACUGACGCUGAAGCACGAAAGCGUGGGUAUCAAACAGG
rnacentral:rRNA from 1 species